rnacentral:rRNA from 1 species
AUUGAACGCUGGCGGCAGGCCUAACACAUGCAAGUCGAACGAGUGGCGGACGGGUGAGUAAUGUCUGGGAAACUGCCCGAUGGAGGGGGAUAACUACUGGAAACGGUAGCUAAUACCGCAUACCAUCGGAUGUGCCCAGUGGGGAUUAGCUAGUAGGUGGGGGAAUGGCUCACCUAGGCGACGCUCCCUAGCUGGUCUGAGAGGAUGACCAGCCAAAAUGGAACGGAGACACGGUCCAGACUCCGACGGGAGGCAGCAGUGGGGAAGAUUGCACAAUGGGAGAAAGCCUGAUGCAGCCAUGCGGCGUGGAUGAAGAAGGCCUUCGGGUUGUAAAGUACUUUCAGCGAGGAGGCGUUACUCGCAGAAGAAGCACCGGCGAACGCCGUGACAGCAGCCGCGGUAAUAC